UCGAAUUUGCUUAGAGCAUCCCCCUUGCUUGACUUUGUUUAGAGAAUUCUCUUCAUCAAGUUUAUUAAGGGCAUCCUUUAGGGCAUCCCACUUCCUUAAGUUGGUUUAGGGUAUCCUUCGUCCUUCACCCCAUAAUUAGGAUGUCAUUCUAAGUUCUAUCUAAACAUAAUCAUGUGUUCCCAAGAUUCCUCAUCAUUGGAACACCAUUCAUAGUUCUAUUCAUUUUCAUUCUUAGUUUGUUUAGUUUCAUGUCGUUGAGAUGCCAUCUUAGGUUCUAUCUAAGCUAAU
rnacentral:lncRNA from 1 species